UACGUAGGGAGCAAGCGUUGUCCGGAAUCAUUGGGCGUAAAGCGCACGUAGGCGGUCUGUUAUGUCGGAUGUGAAAGCCCUUGGCUCAACUGAGGAAGUGCAUCCGAAACUGGCAGGCUAGAGUACUAAAGAGGGUCGCGGAAUUCCCGGUGUAGAGGUGAAAUUCGUAGAUAUCGGGAGGAACACCGGUGGCGAAGGCGGCGACCUGGGUAGAUACUGACGCUGAGGUGCGAAAGCGUGGGGAGCAAACAGG
rnacentral:rRNA from 1 species